rnacentral:tRNA from 1 species
GCGGGAGUAAUUCAGCGGUAGAAUGUCAGCUUCCCAAGCUGGACGUCGCGGGUUCGAUCCCCGUCUCCCGCUC